GUCCAAGGAGGGGCUCUAACUUCAUGACCCCAGGAUCAAGACCUGAGGUUUGCCAACAUGCCAAUUCCAAUGAUCUGCAUCUUCUACUUCCUCCCAAAGGGAGUCUACCAUCAAGUCUGAUUGCUUCCUCCUCCCAACCUUUUAACAUGGUUAAGGACAGGAUUUCUCUCUGGUUCUCCCUCUUUCUACCCUUGAGAUCUUCUUGAACAACUUAAUGGGCAAGGAAGUGUCAAAAUCAUUGCAGCCCAACAGAAUACAUGGCUAUGAAUGCCCUGAAUACCAUCCAGGAACUGAGUAUAUUCUAUUGUAUCUGUAUAUGAUGUCUAUUGUAUCUGUAUGAUGAACACACCAUAUAGUGCACCCUUUUCCAUGUCUACAUUGAAGUCAGUCAUGCCUGACCUACUUGCACCCCACCUAGGAACUCAGUCCUGUGAACCUGAGCAACCAGCUGCACUCUGUGCCAGCAGGCACCAUCAUUCAUCUUUGUAUCAACCUUCCCUACUUAGCUCCAUUUCUUUAUUCCUCUGCUCUGGGAUUGAGCUCUCUAAUAAAAAU